UAUUAUAGGUGAGAAGGAGGAGGAGGAGGAGGAGGAGGAGGAAAGGCUAUGAUAUUUCAGUUUUUCUAGAGAUUAAUUAGAAAAAAAUUAUUUAGAAAAAAAAUACUAUUUUUUCCUCUUUUUCUCCAUCUCCUUCUCCUUCUCUUUUCUCUCCUCUCAUA
rnacentral:miRNA from 1 species